UUCAAACACAGCCCUCCCCAAAGAGUUCUCACUACCUGCUCCCCAUUAUGACCACAGCCUCUCUGCAUCACCCACAGGUAACAUGGCCCUUGGCAGCCUGCUUUCUCCAUCCCACAGGACUCCCACACACCUCACCCCACUCUGCCUCCUCUACUUUAUACUGGCCAAAAAUGGGACUUUCUUAACAGCCAAAAAAAGCUGCCCAUCCUCUCCCAGUAUCCCACCCUUGAACUUUGAAGGCUGAGUCAAGAGUUUUACUUCUGUCAAAACACAGCCAGUGCAGAGAGCCAAACUUCUUCCCUCCCACUGAGGAACUGGAGGGGCUUGCACAAGAGACUCUUCUUUUUCCUGCCCCUGAGGACACACAGACACCGUGGCAACCGCACUAAGCCCAGGGGUGAUGUGUUUUCCUACAUGGAGUUUCACCCACCCAUGCAGGAGUCCACCAUUGACCAUCUUCAUUGUAAGCCACCCUGCCCCCAACCAGCACUAUGCUCAAAGCCAAAAGAAACAACCAAACAUGAAAUUCUGGUGAAAACCACUUUUGAAAUUCCACAUGCCCUUGAAUGUUAA
rnacentral:lncRNA from 1 species